ACAAGCGGUGGAUGAUGUGGAUUAAUUCGAUGCAACGCGAAGACCUUACUACCCUUGACAUGUCCGGAACUUGCCAGAGAUGGCUUGGUGCCGAAAGGGAAUCGGAACACAGGUGCUGCACGGCUGUCGUCAGCUCGUGUCGUGAGAUGUUGGGUUAAGUCCCGCAACGAGCGCAACCCUUAUCAUUAGUUGCUACGCAAGGGCACUCUAAUGAGGACUGCCGGUGACAAACCGGAGGAAGGUGGGGAUGACGUCAAGUCCUCAUGGCCCUUAUGGGUAGGGCUUCACACGUCAUACAAUGGUCGGUACAGAGGGUUGCCAAGCCGCGAGGCGGAGCCAAUCCCACAAAGCCGAUCGUAGUCCGGAUUGUUCUCUGCAACUCGAGAGCAUGAAGUCGGAAUCGCUAGUAAUCGCAGGUCAGCAUACUGCGGUGAAUACGUUCCCGGGUCUU
rnacentral:rRNA from 1 species